GAACGCGAAGAACCUUACCUACCCUUGACAUGCUAGGAAGUCCGCAGAGAUGUGGAUGUGCCCGAAAGGGAACCUGGACACAGGUGCUGCAUGGCUGUCGUCAGCUCGUGUCGUGAGAUGUUGGGUUAAGUCCCGCAACGAGCGCAACCCUUGCCAUUAGUUGCUACAUUCAGUUGAGCACUCUAAUGGGACCGCCGGUGACAAACCGGAGGAAGUGGGGAUGACGUCAAGUCCUCAUGGCCCUUAUGGGUAGGGCUUCACACGUAAUACAAUGGUCGGUACAGAGGGUUGCCAACCCGCGAGGGGGAGCUAAUCCCAGAAAGCCGAUCGUAGUCCGGAUUGUAGUCUGCAACUCGACUGCAUGAAGCCGGAAUCGCUAGUAAUCGCGGAUCAGCAUGUCGCGGUGAAUACGUUCCCGGGUCUUGUACACACC
rnacentral:rRNA from 1 species